CCUACGGGUGGCUGCAGUGGGGAAUUUUGCGCAAUGGGGGAAACCCUGACGCAGCAACGCCGCGUGCGGGACGAAGGCCCUCGGGCUGUAAACCGCUUUCAGCAGGGAAGACAGCGACGGUGCCUGCAGAUGAAGCUCCGGCUAACUACAUGCCAGCAGCCGCGGUAAUACGUAGGGGGCGAGCGUUAUCCGGAUUCAUUGGGCGUAAAGCGCGCGGAGGCGGCCGCCUAAGCGGAACUUCUAACCCCGGGGCUCAACCUCGGGCCGGGUUCCGGACUGGGCGGCUCGAGUGCGGUAGAGGAGAGCGGAAUUCCCGGUGUAGCGGUGGAAUGCGCAGAUAUCGGGAAGAACACCGAUGGCGAAGGCAGCUCUCUGGGCCGACACUGACGCUGAGGCGCGAAAGCUGGGGGAGCGAACAGGAUUAGAUACCCGGGUAGUC
rnacentral:rRNA from 1 species